rnacentral:rRNA from 1 species
UACGUAGGUGACAAGCGUUGUCCGGAUUUACUGGGCGUAAAGAGCGCGCAGGCGGUCGUUCAAGUCGAGUGUGAAAGCCCCCGGCUCAACUGGGGAGGGUCACUCGAUACUGAUCGACUCGAAGGCAGGAGAGGGAAGUGGAAUUCCCGGUGUAGUGGUGAAAUGCGUAGAUAUCGGGAGGAACACCAGUGGCGAAGGCGGCUUUCUGGUCUGCUCUUGACGCUGAGGCGCGAAAGCUAGGGUAGCAAACGGG